GAUGAACGCUGGCGGCGUGCUUAACACAUGCAAGUCGAACGGAAAGGCCCAAACUUGCUUGGGUACUCGAGUGGCGAACGGGUGAGUAACACGUGUGUGAUCUGCCCUGCACUUCGGGAUAAGCCUUGGAAACUGGGUCUAAUACCGGAUAGGACCACAUUUUGGGUGGUGUGGUGGAAAGUUUUUCGGUGUGGGUUGAGCUCGCGGCCUAUCAGCUUGUUGGUGGGGUAAUGGCCUACCAAGGGGUCGACGCGUAGCCGGCCUGAGAGGGGGAACGGCCACGCGAGAACGGAGGCACAGACCAGACUCCAGCGAGAGGCAGGAGUCGGACAUGUGGCAGAAGUGGGGAAUAUUUGACAAUGCGAGGCAGCGUGAGGGAGGGAGGCCGCGGGGGGGUUGAAGGCUUUCGGGUGGUAAGAACAUAUGGCUAGGGAAGAAGCGUUUUUGUGACGGUACCUGGAGAAGAAGCACCGGCUAACUACGUG
rnacentral:rRNA from 1 species